UGGCGGCAAUAGCGCGGUGGUCCCACCUGACCCCAUGCCGAACUCAGAAGUGAAACGCCGUAGCGCCGAUGGUAGUGU
rnacentral:rRNA from 1 species